AACUGAAUAGAUCAGAAGCAACUGCUGAGAUAAAUUUAUAGCUUUACCGUUUCAAAAUCUAAAUGUAAAAUUGACCUGAAUGCCAGGGGAUUCAAAGGUAAGACAUGGCUGUGUUUUUGUGUCUUGGUUUGGUAAGAAUCUCAGCUCACUCUAUUAUGGUAGAUAGGCUGUCAUACCAAGGCAGAUUUGAGUGACCUCAGUUUCCAUUUGGUCUCGGUGUUACAUUUCCUUCGGCAUGGAGUAUAUUUGCAGGUUAUUAGAAGUUGUAUGUUGUUGGUGGUGG
rnacentral:lncRNA from 1 species